rnacentral:misc_RNA from 1 species
CGUAGGUGAACCUGCGGAAGGAUCAUUAUCAAAUCCUAGCCAUUGUUGCCUCGCUGCAACUGUGGUGAAGCACCGUGCACUGGCGACCGGGGAUGGGAGAGGCCCCGCUCGGUUGAUGGGAGGUGUGCGACCGGCAUGUGGUGUCGCACUUCAAUCGAUGGGACCGUAACGUCCGCCCGUCGGGCCUCAAACCGAGUUCUCCCCAUCUUUGGUUUUUUUGUUUUCCACGUUUGAAACUUUGUCAUGUCGGUGGUGGUAUUGUUUGUUAGUUGCAAAGUAAACGACAACUUCUGACGGUGGAUCUCUUGGCUCGUGCAUCGAUGAAGAACGCAGCAAGCUGCGAUACCUAGUGUGAAUUGCAGAAUUCAGUGAAUCAUCGAGUCUUUGAACGCAAAUGGCGCUCCCCGGGUCCCCUCGGGAGCAGGUCUGUUCGAGCGUCCGCCAACCAACCAAAUCGUUGCCCGUGCCGGGCAAGGAGAUUGAGGGGG